CCCUUAGAUGUCCGGGGCCGCACGCGCGCUACACUGAAGGAAUCAGCGUGCUAAAACCAUUGUCGAAAGGCAUUGGUAAACCCAUUAAAAUCCUACGUGAUUGGGAUCGGGAAUUGCAAUUAUUUCCCUUGAACGAGGAAUUCCCAGUAAGUGUGGGUCAUAAGCUCGCGUUGAUUACGUCCCUGCCCUUUGUACACACCGCCCGUCGCUGCCCGGGACUGAGCCGUUUCGAGAAAAGCGGGGACUGCUGCUGUCGGGGCUUUCGGGCCUUGGCUUCGGUGGAAACCGCUUUAAUCGCAGUGGCUUGAACCGGGCAAAAGUCGUANCA
rnacentral:rRNA from 1 species